rnacentral:rRNA from 1 species
AUGGACUUAAACAGUCACCAAGGGCUUGGUUUGGGAGAUUUCGCAAGGAAGUCUGCACUUUGGGUUUUCGACANNNNNNNNNNUUAUGGAGCUCAAGGUAUCUAUCUCUCUCAAAGGAAAUAUGUGCUUGAUCUUCUCGCUGAAACUAGGAUGCUUGAAAGUAAACCAGCUGCCACACCAAUUGAACCAAACCUUCGUAUUACAGCCAAUUCAGGAGAACCUGUUGAUAGGGGGAGAUACCAGAGACUUGUGGGACGUUUAAUUUAUCUAUCCCAUACUAGACCAGACAUUGCAUAUGCCGUGAGCCUGGUGAGUAGAUAUAUGCAUGAUCCUCGAUCAGGUCAUCUAGAUGCAGUAAAUAGAAUUCUGCGGUAUCUCAAAGGUUGUCCUGGAAAAGGAAUUCUCCUUUCCAACCAUGGGCAUCUAGAAGUUGAGGGAUACACAGACGCUGAUUGGGCUGGGUGCUUGGAUGACAGGAGAUCCACUUCAGGUUAUUGCGUCUUCUUGGGAGGAAAUUUAGUCAGUUGGAGGAGUAAGAAGCAAAGUGUUGUAGCCAGAUCCACGGCAGAAGCAGAGUUGCGAUCCAUGGCUUCAGGGCUAUGUGAGUUGUUAUGGCUUCAAUUAUUAUUAACUGAACUUCGGUUGUUUAAAGGAGGACCACUCAAGCUCCAUUGUGAUAAUCAAGCCGCAAUCAACAUUGUCAACAAUCCGGUUCAGCAUGAUAGAACAAAACAUAUCGAAAUUGAUAGACAUUUUAUUAAGGAGAAACUUGAUGAGGGAGUACUUCAAGUAGGUUUUGUUAAAACUGGAGACCAACUUGCUGAUGUAUUAACAAAGGGCGUGAGUGUUGUAUCCUUCUUUAAGUUGUGUGGCAAGAUGGGGCUCUUAGACAUUUUCACCCCAUCUUGA